rnacentral:tRNA from 1 species
GGAGGAGGAUCGACCCCCGGUGGGGCGUCCGGUCUGCAAAACCGGGUGGGGUUGCUCCGCAGUCCCAGGUGGGUUCGACUCCCACCCCCCUCCGCCA